CUGUCAUUUUUUUUUCACCCGCGCGCGUGUUUGAUCCUGUUUGUGUGGCGCAGUUGAAAUCAAAAAUUCUCAAGUCGAAUCGCGUGUGCUCGUGAAGGAACAACAUCCGGCGUUCGGAACAAAUACACCGGGUGACCGUAUCGGAACGGCUCUGGGAUGGCGGAAUUUUCGCAUAUUUGGGGACUUCUUCUACCAGGCCCGGCGCCUGCUGCGGACACUUCCGGCCGGAUUUGUUCAGGAUGGUCGUUUCGUCUGGAGGCGAAAAUCGUUAGGUAAGUUGUGUGUUAAUGCUCAACGGUGAACGUUCAAACAACGGUCAAGGAAAAGGUCACGAAAAGAAUUGUGUUGAGUGGUACGCAACUGAAAAUAACAGAAACAGAAAGUAGCGUUUGACGUUUAUUGACACGGUGCCUGUGUUAAAUUUGUUUUGAUGAAUAAAUAAAAUAAUAGAAUUUGCAAAUUUGAAUGCCACUGAUAAUUACAAAUGUUUAUAUAAUUUUGUUUUUAAUGUAAACAUAUAGAGCUGCUCAUCAGACCGAAUCUCAAAAUGCUGAAUCUUGGAAGGAAAUUAGGCAAUUAGGAUAUUAGGAAAUUAGGAAAUUAGGGAAUAAGAAAAUUUGGAAA
rnacentral:lncRNA from 1 species